AGUGGAGUGUAGAGGAGAGAGGUUUUAUUUGUGAACAGAUAAAAUAAUAAUAAGUUAAUUGCCUCAGCAUCACCUGGAGAGACUGAAGAAACAGCAGGUUCACAGGCACACCUCUUGAAGAUAAUGAAAGGAAGAUCUUGGCUCGGGACCAGAGAAUGCAGCCAGCGGAGGAUCUGACAGAUACGUUCUACUCAAUCGGAAUUUGCUUGAAGAUCCAACCAGCCACAAGG